GAACAGACUUCCUGCUCAGGGCUCAGGGCUCCAGCAGCCUCCCCAGACCGAGGCUGGGGAGCCUGGAGGGGUCAGAGGCCAAGCUCAGGCCCAGGCCAGGCUGGGCGGGAAGAUGGCUGGUUGGGGCAGCGAGCUCAUCAGCAGGAUAGCCACAGCAAAUCAGAACACAGACAACAGGCUUAACUUAGAGCCUGCAUUCAGGCACUUCAAAAGACAUAAAGUGGAGAUUUCAACUGCAAUAAAAAAAACAUUUCCUUUCCUUGAGGGUCUUCGUGACCGUGAACUCAUCACCAAUAGAAUGUAUGAAGACUGUCAAGAUUCUUGUAGAAACCUGGUCCCUGUAUCGAGAGUGGUUUACAAUGUUCUCAGUGAGCUGGAGAAGACAUUUGACAUGUCGCUUCUGGAAGCUUUGUUCAGCGAGGUCAACCGGCAGGAAUAUCCUGAUUUAAAUCACAUUUAUGAAAGCUUCAUAAAGGUAAUGCAGGGGAAAAUUAAUCAUGAAGAAAGCAAUGGAGAAGAGAGGGAGGAGAGGCCUACUCUCCCACUAAGCCUUGAGCAAGGUACGACCUCACCUGAAAAUGGACUCUCGGAUAACCUCUGUGAAACAGAACAGAUAAAUGCAAAGAGGAAAGAUACAACCAGUGACCAAAACGAUGCACUAGAAAGCCAACAAGCAAGUGAACAAUGUGCCCAAGAGUCUGAACCAGCAGAGUCCUGCGAACAAGUACCUAUCCAAUCAAAUAAUGGUGAUGCAAGAAAGGAGACACCCAGCCCAUUGCCUUAUGAGGAAGAAAAAGAAAAGCUACCCAACCAUGGAUUUCAAAUCAAUUCCUGUUCUGUCCUUCUGGUGGAUAUAAAGAAGGAAAAGCCAUUUUUUAACCCCGAAGUUGAAUGGCAAACCCAAGCCAGGACUGACUGUAACCAGGCAUCUGAUGUAAUAGUGAUCAGCAGUGAGGACUCCGCAGAAUCCAGUGAUGGAGAGGAGUUCCCAGAACCCUCCACGUCAGCACUGAGAAAGUCGUCUGGAUAUCAUUUUCCACCUUUAACUUUUCUGGCCCUGUUGGGAAGUGGAAGGAGGCAAGAAGAUCCUUGGGAUAUUGAAAACACAUCAAUUUGCAGCAUAAGCCAUAGGAAAAGACGAAUCAGCAGUAGUGACACUUCAGAACUGAGUAACGAAGAUGAGCUUCAGGAAACGUCUAACUCAGUCCUAAGAAAUGGGUCAGAUACCAUGGAUACUGGAAGCGAUUCUGCUUUGGGAAAACACAGUGAGAAAAGAAGGAGAAAAACAGUCAACACUGGGCCUUUGAAAAGAGGCAGAAAAAGAGAGAGAAGCCCCCAGACCUGUCUUUAAAGGAUCCUCCUCAAUGUUGGCCAGAAGGGCAAGAGAAGGUGCUCCUGCUACUGACAUUCUUUCUAAGACUUUCAACACCUGCUUCAGAGGAAUUAGAUGCCAGCACCCUCACCCAAGGAUGUACAGAAACCCUCUCCCUGAGCAAUUUGCAGUUUCUUCUAGAGCAAAUUACCUUCUAGCCACAGAGAAAGCUCACAUGAAAGAGAAGUGAAACAGAGAGCAAGGUGGGAAGACAGACAUUGCCCCUGCUGGGGGUCCCAUUGCAAUCCUGCUUUUUUCCCCAGCAGGAGGAAAAUUAUCAUGCAAUAGGUAGUUGGGACCAGCAAGCUUGGGAAUCAGAUCCUUCCACAAGAGGUUUGUAUAUAGGAUUUUAGAUGAUGGUGGUGAAGGGUGACGUUAUCUUUAUGUACCUAACCUGCCUAGAAAUGUACCUGAUUCAUGGGGCAAAUCCUUCCAUUACAUUUUAACUUAUAAAGAAGUAUCUCAAGAUGGGUGAGGAGAGACGGUACACAGCUUUAGAGCAAGAUGGAAUGAAGAAACCAAUGCUUCCUUGCAGGUCCAAGAAUUCCCAAAGUAACAUAUACGGAUUUUCAGCUUCCUGAACUUC